CCUACGGGCGGCUGCAGUAGGGAAUCUUCCGCAAUGGGCGCAAGCCUGACGGAGCGAUGCCGCGUGAGUGAGGAAGGUUUUCGGAUCGUAAAACUCUGUUGCGGGGGAAGAACCUCUGUGAUGGGAUCACAGACUGACGGUACCCCGCGAGGAAGCCCCGGCUAACUACGUGCCAGCAGCCGCGGUAACACGUAGGGGGCAAGCGUUGUCCGGAAUUAUUGGGCUUAAAGGGCGCGCAGGCGGUCAUUUAAGUCUGAUGUGAAAGCCCACGGCUCAACCGUGGAGAGACAUUGGAAACUGGAUGACUUGAGUGUAGGAGAGGGAAGUGGAAUUCCACGUGUAGCGGUGAAAUGCGUAGAGAUGUGGAGGAACACCAGUGGCGAAGGCGACUUUCUGGCCUACAACUGACGCUGAGGCGCGAAAGCGUGGGUAGCGAACAGGAUUAAAUACCCCUGUAGUC
rnacentral:rRNA from 1 species